CUCUCUUAGCUGUGUUUUAAAGAACUUUGAUAAACUUUACCCCCCUUUGUUGAGCAAGAUUAGGGAAGCAGUGUUUUCUUCCACGCCCACUGCAGAGGGAAAUGCCUGGGGUCUAAAAACUUUGAUAUCUUGCUUAAACUUUUCUCAAACUCAAAACAGCUGCAAGCAGAGGAUCAGCUUUUUGGGAAGCUGACUACUAAAAAGUUAGGAGAUGUGAAAAAUGCCUGGUGUCUGGGGUCAAACCUAACCAGAG
rnacentral:lncRNA from 1 species